rnacentral:rRNA from 1 species
UGGGGAAUUUUGGACAAUGGGCGAAAGCCUGAUCCAGCAAUGCCGCGUGUGUGAAGAAGGCCUUCGGGUUGUAAAGCACUUUUGUCCGGAAAGAAAUCCUUGGCUCUAAUACAGUCGGGGGGAUGACGGUACCGGAAGAAUAAGCACCGGCUAACUACGUGCCAGCAGCCGCGGUAAUACGUAGGGUGCAAGCGUUAAUCGGAAUUACUGGGCGUAAAGCGUGCGCAGGCGGUUUGCUAAGACCGAUGUGAAAUCCCCGGGCUCAACCUGGGAACUGCAUUGGUGACUGGCAGGCUAGAGUAUGGCAGAGGGGGGUAGAAUUCCACGUGUAGCAGUGAAAUGCGUAGAGAUGUGGAGGAAUACCGAUGGCGAAGGCAGCCCCCUGGGCCAAUACUGACGCUCAUGCACGAAAGCGUGGGGGAGCAAACAGGAUUAGAUACCCUGGUAGUCCACGCCCUAAACGAUGUCAACUAGUUGUUGGGGAUUCAUUUCCUUAGUAACGUAGCUAACGCGUGAAGUUGACCGCCUGGGGAGUACGGUCGCAAGAUUAAAACUUAAAUGAAUUGACGGGGUCAUAGCUGUUUCCU